rnacentral:tRNA from 1 species
GCUGGCUCAGUCGGUAGAGCAUGAGACUCUUGAUCUCCGGGUCAUGAGUUCAAUCCUCACAUUGCGCA